rnacentral:rRNA from 1 species
GACGAACGCUGGCGGCGUGCUUAACACAUGCAAGUCGAACGGAAAGGCCCUGCUUUUGUGGGGUGCUCGAGUGGCGAACGGGUGAGUAACACGUGAGUAACCUGCCCUUGACUUUGGGAUAACUUCAGGAAACUGGGGCUAAUACCGGAUAGGAGCUCAUGCUGCAUGGUGGGGGUUGGAAAGUUUCGGCGGUUGGGGAUGGACUCGCGGCUUAUCAGCUUGUUGGUGGGGUAGUGGCUUACCAAGGCUUUGACGGGUAGCCGGCCUGAGAGGGUGACCGGCCACAUUGGGACUGAGAUACGGCCCAGACUCCUACGGGAGGCAGCAGUGGGGAAUAUUGCACAAUGGGCGGAAGCCUGAUGCAGCAACGUCGCGUGCGGGAUGACGGCCUUCGGGUUGUAAACCGCUUUCGCCUGUGACGAAGCGUGAGUGACGGUAAUGGGUAAAGAAGCACCGGCUAACUACGUG